UACGUAGGUGACCAGCGUUGUCCGGAUUUACUGGGCGUAAAGAGCGCGCAGGCGGUCGUUCAAGUCGAGGGUGAAAGCCCCCGGCUCAACUGGGGAGGGUCAUCCGAUACUGAUCGACUCGAAGGCAGGAGAGGGAAGCGGAAUUCCCGGUGUAGUGGUGAAAUGCGUAGAUAUCGGGAGGAACACCAGUGGCGAAGGCGACACGCUGGGCCGUACCUGACGCUAAAGCGCGACAGCAUGGGGAGCAAACGGG
rnacentral:rRNA from 1 species